rnacentral:rRNA from 1 species
UACGGAGGGUGCGAGCGUUGUCCGGAAUCACUGGGCGUAAAGGGCGCGUAGGCGGCUUCUUAAGCGUGCGGUGAAAGCUCGGGGCUCAACUCCGAGUCGGCCGUGCGAACUGGGAAGCUGGAGCACAGUAGAGGCGGGUGGAAUUCCGCGUGUAGCAGUGAAAUGCGUAGAUAUCAGGAGGAACACCGGUGGCGAAGGCGGCUUGCUGGGCCAGUUCUGACGCUGAGGAGCGAAAGCGUGGGGAGCGAACAGG